UACGGAGGAUCCAAGCGUUAUCCGGAAUCAUUGGGUUUAAAGGGUCCGUAGGCGGUUUGGUAAGUCAGUGGUGAAAGCCCAUCGCUCAACGGUGGAACGGCCAUUGAUACUGCCAGACUUGAAUUAUUAGGAAGUAACUAGAAUAUGUAGUGUAGCGGUGAAAUGCUUAGAGAUUACAUGGAAUACCAAUUGCGAAGGCAGGUUACUACCAU
rnacentral:rRNA from 1 species